UACAGAGGUCUCAAGCGUUGUUCGGAAUCACUGGGCUUAAAGGGCGCGUAGGCGGAUGGUCAAGUCGGGGGUGAAAUCUUUCAGCUUAACUGGAAAAGUGCCUCCGAUACUGAUCGUCUCGAGGGAGGUAGGGGCAUGUGGAACUUCCGGUGGAGCGGUGAAAUGCGUAGAUAUCGGAAGGAACGCCGGUGGCGAAAGCGACGUGCUGGACCUCUUCUGACGCUGAGGCGCGAAAGCUAGGGGAGCAAACGGG
rnacentral:rRNA from 1 species